CCUACGGGAGGCAGCAGUGGGGAAUCUUAGACAAUGGGGGAAACCCUGAUCUAGCCAUGCCGCGUGAUCGAUGAAGGCCUUAGGGUUGUAAAGAUCUUUCAGAUGGGAAGAUAAUGACGGUACCAUCAGAAGAAGCCCCGGCUAACUCCGUGCCAGCAGCCGCGGUAAUACGGAGGGGGCUAGCGUUAUUCGGAAUUACUGGGCGUAAAGCGCACGUAGGCGGACUGGAAAGUUGGGGGUGAAAGCCCAGGGCUCAACCCUGGAACUGCCCUCAAACUCCCAGUCUUGAGGUCGAGAGAGGUGAGUGGAAUUCCGAGUGUAGAGGUGAAAUUCGUAGAUAUUCGGAGGAACACCGAGUGGCGAAGGCGGCUCACUGGCUCGAUACUGACGCUGAGGUGCGAAGCGUGGGAGCAAACAGGAUUAGAUACCCGUGGUAGUCCACGCCGUAAACGAUGAAUGCCAGUCGUCGGGUAGCAUGCUAUUCGGUGACACACCUAACGGAUUAAGCAUUCCGCCUGGGGAUACGGCCGCAAGGUUAAAACCUCGAAAUGAAUUGACGG
rnacentral:rRNA from 1 species